GCUCCAGAACAUUUUUCUACCAUGGAAAAUAUAUUAUUCCUAAUAGCUGGAAUUCCCUCCUUCCUCGUUUAUGUACUUAAACCUUUCUCCCAAAUCAACGACAUGUCAUCACCACCCUUUUCUCUGUUAUAUACCAUUUUUCUUUCCUCUGUGUUAGGAUGGUCGCCUACGAAUGAAUGACCAACUGAUUGCAGUCAAUGGGGAGUCUCUUCUGGGAAAGUCCAACCAUGAAGCUAUGGAAACACUUAGACGAUCCAUGUCCAUGGAGGGAAACAUUCGAGGGAUGAUCCAGUUGGUGAUUCUUAGGAGACCAGAGAGACCAAUGGAGGUGAUGCAAAUCUUGAUUUUCCUUGCAAAUUGCCUAAUGGCUACCAUAAUAUGCAAAUUUCCAUUAACAGUGUGGUAGGUGGACUCAUGGUG
rnacentral:lncRNA from 1 species